GUCACUCUUUGAAGUCACAACCGCAGAAUUUUGGCAUAAACAGAUCUAUAACUUAUCGAAAUGGAGGAAAGAGAUCCAUGGAAACCAGGAAGAUACAUUCCACAUGCUUUAACAUGGAUGCGAAGCAGAUCGGUGACUUUACAGCACUCCGUUGAAGAAGCUCCAAAGAAAAGAAGACGAACACCACGGCCAUACAUUGCAAUAAUAACAUUACUGGUGGUAAUAACAGCAGGGGUAGCUUAUUUAGUAUACAAUGGCACAGACACGGGCAUAUACCUUCGUGC